GUCAUCAGGAUCUGGGGACACGAGCUCAUUUGAAGUGCCUAUGCUCCCUGGAUGCCUUCUCUCUUGUUAUAGGCGGCAGUCCCCUCAACCCUGGCUGUUCAUCGCUUUGUAGCUGCAAAAUCGUUUUCCAGCAGAGAAGAGAAAGGAAGGGGAGGCAUCACUAUCCAACAGAACCAGGAACUGGAGGCUCUUGAACUUUAAACAACUUGUCCAAGGUCACACAGAAAGAGAUGGAUUCAUGAGUCUAGUCCAGGUCAUCUGGUUCCAAAGCCUGCAUGCUCUCCACUACACCAAGCUCAUAGAAGAAGCUGUGUUUAGACAUGGAGGCCGGGGGAAGAUGGAGGGAUGGAGGGACGAGCUCUAUGGACAGAUGGACCACAGGAAUCAGGUCCUGCCUUUGCUGUCUGAGUUCUUCUGUAGGUGAAAAUUGGACCCUCAGCACAUUAGUUUCCCUGUGUUGGGAAAACUGGUGAGUCUUGUCUAUGUCUCUUUCAUCUCCAAGUGUGUCUCUGGGCCAAAACUUAAUGGACAGGGAAAAGUCAGGGCCAUUGGGUCCCCCAGAAACAUCUUCAGAGCAACACCUGCCUAGGCCUCUUCCUCAGGAGUCCUCACUAAUGCCCAGGAAGAGGAGAAACCCAGCACUCUACUCUCCCAGGCUGAGGAUAGUUAUAGGGUGACUCAAGGCCCAGAAGAAUGGCUCUAGGCCACCAUCCAGCUCCCUUACAAGUAACAAUGGCUUCAGUCUCCUCCUCUCAGUGUGGCUCUGGAGCUCCUGUCAUCUGCAUUCAUCAAGGCUCUGGACUCCCUUCCAUCCCUCUAAUGUUCAAAGAAGCAGGCAUCUUUCUCUGUGGAUCUGCCUUCUUUCUCCCUUGGCUACCUUUGCCCUCCCACCCAUCUUGUCCCACUGAACUCCAUGGAGCCUCUGUCAAGUAGGUGAAAACUCUGGCCUAGGAACAUCUUGACCUCCAAGAACAUGUUCUGUGUAUGCCAGGGAGGGAAAUCUAAACCAAUACUUAGUGAUGCUAGAAAGAGCAGCCAAGGAAGAAAGACCCAUUAUUCAGCUAUGCUGUGAGCAUCGUUACCUAGUCUAGGGGGAGGGGAAUGGGUUCUGGGGAUCCAGGUGGAUCCAGGCAAAGGCAGGCUGUUCUGGGGAUCUCCUCAGGGCUCCCUAUCUGAUUACUCAUCAUUACUCCCAGGCUCCUGAGGCUGUCUGGGAUCAAAGAAGUAUGUCCUGGGGC